UAGGGAAUCUUCCACAAUGGACGAAAGUCCGAUGGAGCAACGCCGCGUGAGUGAAGAAGGGUUUCGGCUCGUAAAACUCUGUUGUUAAAGAAGAACAUAUCUGAGAGUAACUGUUCAGGUAUUGACGGUAUUUAACCAGAAAGCCACGGCUAACUACGUGCCA
rnacentral:rRNA from 1 species